AGUCCUGUGGCCUAGCGGCGAAGGCUUCUGUUUUACAAACAGACGAUCGACGGUUCGAGUCCGUCCGGGACUA
rnacentral:tRNA from 1 species